rnacentral:sRNA from 1 species
GGCAAAGCCCCAAGGCACCCAGCCGAUGACCGGGCUUGCCCUGGGGCUUUUCCUACUUUUCAACCACCUACAUCAUUGCAGGCCCGAAACCCUAAAUGCAUCCGCAGUUCUUGACACCUUUUGGCGGCUAGG